rnacentral:rRNA from 1 species
AUUGAACGCUGGCGGCAGGCCUAACACAUGCAAGUUGAACGGUAGCACAGAGGAGCUUGCUCCUUGGGUGACGAGUGGCGGACGGGUGAGUAAUGUCUGGGAACCUGCCCGAUGGAGGGGGAUAACUACUGGAAACGGUAGCUAAUACCGCAUAACGUCUUCGGACCAAAGUGGGGGAACUUCGGGCCUCACACCAUCGGAUGUGCCCAGAUGGGAUGAGCUAGUAGGUGGGGUAAUGGCUCACCUAGGCGACGAUCCCUAGCUGGUCUGAGAGGAUGACCAGCCACACUGGAACUGAGACACGGUCCAGACUCCUACGGGAGGCAGCAGUGGGGAAUAUUGCACAAUGGGCGCAAGCCUGAUGCAGCCAUGCCGCGUGUAUGAAGAAGGCCUUCGGGUUGUAAAGUACUUUCAGCGGGGAGGAAGGCGUUAAGGUUAAUAACCUUGGCGAUUGACGUUACCCGCAGAAGAAGCACCGGCUAACUCCGUGCCAGCAGCCGCAGUAA